rnacentral:rRNA from 1 species
GAUGAACGCUGGCGGCGUGCCUAAUGCAUGCAAGUCGAGCGAACAGACGAGGAGCUUGCUCCUCUGACGUUAGCGGCGGACGGGUGAGUAACACGUGGAUAACCUACCUAUAAGACUGGGAUAACUUCGGGAAACCGGAGCUAAUACCGGAUAACAUGUUGAACCGCAUGGUUCAACAGUGAAAGACGGUCUUGCUGUCACUUAUAGAUGGAUCCGCGCCGCAUUAGCUAGUUGGUAAGGUAACGGCUUACCAAGGCAACGAUGCGUAGCCGACCUGAGAGGGUGAUCGGCCACACUGGAACUGAGACACGGUCCAGACUCCUACGGGAGGCAGCAGUAGGGAAUCUUCCGCAAUGGGCGAAAGCCUGACGGAGCAACGCCGCGUGAGUGAAGAAGGUCUUCGGAUCGUAAAACUCUGUUAUUAGGGAAGAACAAAUGUGUAAGUAACUAUGCACGUCUUGACGGUACCUAAUCAGAAAGCCACGGCUAACUACGUG